ensembl:misc_RNA Metazoa_SRP Metazoan signal recognition particle RNA
GCCAGGCACAGUGGCACAUGCCUGUAGUCUCAGCUACUUGGGAGGCUGAGACAGGAGGAUCACUUGAGUCCAGGAGUUCUGGGCUGUAGUGCGCUAUGCCAAUUGGGUGUCUGCACUAAAUUCGGCAUCAAUAUGGUGACCUCCAGAGAGUGGGUGGCCACCAGGUUGCCUAAGGAGGAGGAAUUCUAUACCAUGCAUUGUCUGCUAAAUUUCCUCAUGUAUGAUGCUACAGAAAAAUCAGCUGCAGAUCGCCUCUGGCUUCCAUCAAUGGCUCAAAAUUAUGCUCAAGCCUUAU